UACAGAGGUCUCAAGCGUUGUUCGGAUUCAUUGGGCGUAAAGGGUGCGUAGGUGGUGGGGUAAGUCGGAUGUGAAAUCCCGGGGCUCAACCCCGGAACUGCAUUCGAUACUGCCUUGCUCGAGUACUGGAGAGGAGACUGGAGUUUACGGUGUAGCAGUGAAAUGCGUAGAUAUCGUAAGGAAGACCAGUGGCGAAGGCGAGUCUCUGGACAGUUACUGACACUGAGGCACGAAGGCCAGGGGAGCAAACGGG
rnacentral:rRNA from 1 species